GACGAACGCUGGCGGCGUGCUUAACACAUGCAAGUCGAACGGAAAGGCCCUGCUUGCAGGGUACUCGAGUGGCGAACGGGUGAGUAACACGUGGGUGUUCUGCCCUGCACUUCGGGAUAAGCCUUCGGAACUGGGUCUAAUACCGGAGAGGAGCCAUUUUUAGUGUGGUAGUUGGAAAGAUUUUUCGGUGUAGGAUGAGCUCGCGGGCUAUCAGCUUGCUGGUUGGGUAAUGGCCUACCUAGGCGGCGACGGGUAGCCGGCCUGAGAGGGUGGACGGCCACAAUGGGACUGAGAUACGGCCCAGACUCCUACGGGAGGCAACAGUGGGGAAUAUUGCACAAUGGGCGGAAGCCUGAUGCAGGGACGGCGCGUGGGGGAUGACGGGCUUCGGGUUGUAAACUCCUUUCGCUAGGGACGAAGCUGUUUGUGACGGUAACUAGAUAAGAAGCACCGGCUAACUACGUG
rnacentral:rRNA from 1 species